rfam:Chelonia mydas contig214433, whole genome shotgun sequence.
GUGUUAACCUGGCAGGGGAGAUACCAUGAUCACAAAGGUGGUUUUCCCAGGGUGAGGUUCAUCCAUUGCACUGUGGGUGUGCUGACCCCUGCGAUUUCCCCAAAUGCAGGAAACUCGACUGCAUAAUUUGUUAACUCUCAUGGGUGUCAGUGCCAAAC